GACGAACGCUGGCGGCGUGCCUAAUACAUGCAAGUCGAACGCAGUGGGGACGGGUGAGUAACACUUGGUUAACCUCCCAUCAGAGGGGAUAACACUUGGAAACAGGUGCUAAACCGAUACUGAUGGAUGGUUCCGCGGUUCAUUAGCUAGGUGGUGAGGUAACGGCUCACCAGGGCCACGAUGCAUAGCCGACCUGGUGGGGGGAUCGGCGACACGGGAGCUGAGACACGGCCCAGACGCCUACGGGAGGCAGCAGUAGGGAAUCUUCGGCAAUGGGCGGAAGUCUGACCGAGCAACGCAGCGUGAGUGAAGAAGGUUUUCGGAUCGUAAAACUCGGUUGGUAGAGAAGCGGUAUCUAACCAGAAAGCCACGGCUAACUACGUGCCAGCAGCCGCGGUAAUAC
rnacentral:rRNA from 1 species